GACGAAGGUGGCGAGCGUUGUUCGGAAUCACUGGGCAUAAAGCGCACGUAGGCGGCGACGUAAGUUGGGGUGUGAAAUCCCUCGGCCCAACCGAGGAACUGCGCCCAGUACUGCGUUGCUUGAGGAUCCAAGGGGUGCAUGGAAUUCCCGGUGGAGCGGUGAAAUGCGUUGAUAUCGGGAGGAACUCCGGCGGCGAAAGCGGUGCACUGGUGGAUUUCUGACGCUGAGGUGCGAAAGCCAGGGGGAGCAAAACGGG
rnacentral:rRNA from 1 species